GACGAACGCUGGCGGCGUGCCUAACACAUGCAAGUCGAACGGACAGGCCCUGCUCUUGUGGGGUUCUCGAGUGGCGAACGGGUGAGUAACACGUGAGUAUCCUGCCCCUGACUGUGGGAUAACUCCAGGAAACUGGGGCUCAUACCGGAUAGGAUCUCUUGCUGCAUGGGGGGGGUUGGAAAGUUUCGGUGGUUGGGGCUGGACUGGCGGCGUAUCAGCUUGUUGGUGGGGUAGUGGCUUACCCAGCCUUUGACGGGUAGGCGGCCUGAGAGGGUGACCGGCCACAUUGGGACUGAGAUACGGCCCAGACUCCUACGGGAGGCAGCAGUGGGGAAUAUUGCACGAUGGGCGGAAGCCUGAUGAAGCAACGCCGCGUGCGGGAUGACGGCCUUCGGGUUGUAAACCGCUUUCGCCUGUGACGAAGCGUGAGUGACGGUAAUGGGUAAAGAAGCACCGGCUAACUACGUG
rnacentral:rRNA from 1 species